rnacentral:rRNA from 1 species
GUGACUAAUACCGCAUAAUAUUCUUGGAAGGCAUCUUCCGAGAAGGAAAGGAAAUAUUCGGUAAAAGAUGGGCCCGCAUCUGAUUAGCUAGUUGGUGAGAUAACAGCCCACCAAGGCGACGAUCAGUAGCCGACCUGAGAGGGUGACCGGCCACAUUGGGACUGAGACACGGCCCAAACUCCUACGGGAGGCAGCAGUGGGGAAUAUUGCACAAUGGGGGGAACCCUGAUGCAGCAACGCCGCGUGAAGGAAGACGGUUUUCGGAUUGUAAACUUCUAUCAAUAGGGAAGAAAGAAAUGACGGUACCUAAAUAAGAAGCCCCGGCUAACUACGUGCCAGCAGCCGCGGUAAUACGUAGGGGGCAAGCGUUAUCCGGAAUUACUGGGUGUAAAGGGAGAGUAGGCGGCAAGGUAAGCGAUAUGUGAAAGCCUUAGGCUUAACCUGAGGAUUGCAUAACGAACUAUCUAGCUAGAGUACAGGAGAGGAAAGCGGAAUUCCUAGUGUAGCGGUGAAAUGCGUAGAUAUUAGGAAGAACACCAGUGGCGAAGGCGGCUUUCUGGACUGAAACUGACGCUGAGGCUCGAAAGCGUGGGGAGCGAACAGGAUUAGAUACCCUGGUAGUCCACGCUGUAAACGA